UCUCCUCCGGCCUCCCCCUUCACAUCUUUCCGCACGCUGCGAUCCCAGCCCUGAGUUGCUGGUGCAUUGUCCCAGCUUUGCGGUGUGUCACCGCAAAACAAGAGGCCGAAAGAGAAGAACAGGCGGGUGGGUUGAGUCCGGAGAGAGAAGGGGAAGCCAGGGUGGAAAUCAGAAAGCGGCUCUCUUCUCAUUUUAACUGCAUGCCUCUAGACUUGCAUUUUAUUGAUCCUCAGAAAUUCUUUUCCCAGCAGAAGGUGAAACCUUCUACCUAUAAAAAUAUGAAUUAGGACUAUGACUACCAUAGUUUCACUGCAGAUCCAUGGAAGUGGUAAAGUUUUUAGUUAUCAAAAUAAUGCUUGGACUGUGGAGCAAUCUGGAUUCAAAAGGGAAAAAAAUGAUUUGGAUCACAUCUGGUUUGCAUGCCAUCCCUCCAAGCAGCCCUUCAAUAGAGGGCAAUGAAGCAGCAGAGGGGAGAGCUCAACACGCCGGCAACAGCUGUAGACCCUUGAUCUAGAAAAGUCCUAAGAAUAAUGAGCUGGAAACAGGUGCAGGGCUAAGCCAGAAGCCUUCCUGGAAGCUUUUGCCCUUGGAAAUGAUUGGGAUAGUAGCUUUAAUGUCCCACCCUCAUCCUUUCCAUGUAUAUUCAAUAUAGAAUGGAUUGAAAUUAAAAAGUAA